rnacentral:rRNA from 1 species
UACGUAGGGUGCGAGCGUUGUCCGGAAUCAUUGGGCGUAAAGAGCGUGUAGGCGGCCCGGUAAGUCCGCUGUAAAAGUCAAAGGCUCAACCUUUGAAUGUCAGUGGAUACUGCCGGGCUAGAGUCCGGAAGAGGCGAGUGGAACUCCUGGUGUAGCGGUGGAAUGCGCAGAUAUCAGGAAGAACACCAACGGCGAAGGCAGCUCGCUGGGACGGUACUGACGCUGAGACGCGAAAGCGUGGGGAGCGAACAGG